UUAAGUCAGUCGCCACCCCUCCUUCUUUCCUUCCAAACACUGCGCGUGCGUGCGCGUGCGAGCUUAGAACCUAGCGGCCGUUAGCUGGCUGGCUGCACGCUUCACGCGGCGGGUGGAGCGGACGGGGGCGCUAGGCUCGGACUCUCCGCUGACGACCUCGGGGCUUCCUGUGGAGUUGUACUGAAGUGAACCGUGGGGGCAGCGUCAGGGAGCGGGCUAGGCUAGCCCGCUUAGCUCAGCUCAGCUAAAGGCCAUUGUUAUGCAUGCCAUAACAAAAAAGGCGGAAAUACUGAGCCAGCUACCACGUGGAUGUCUACAACUUAUUGAAGAUGCAGGCCCCAAAGACGUCCCUGGUGUGAUGCAAAGGUUGUCUGGCAGGCUCACGGACAUCUCCUGUUAACUGAAGAGAAGCAUUUAAAAUAGUUGUCCAUUUUGGGCUUCAACACUGAAUGAGGCCGGCUGCCUCCAGGGACUCCUCAACCCCACUGCACUGGUGGGUAGCCAACUAACAACACCAAGGGAUAUCUCCAAUCCAACCCUUGCCAGGAGGAACCUGCUCAGGGCCCAAAUACACACACAAACACACCACAACCCCAAACGUGAUUAAAAGAAAACACAAAACAGAGGAGUUGCACCUGAGCAGGACACAACUACUUGUAGGCCGAAACAGGGGUAUAGCACCCACCAGCUACCAUAAGGAUAAAGGGAAAAAGCAGCCACGGUUUAAAAAUGGAUAAAACAAGUGUGUCAAGUUUGAUUAAAACAUUAAAAACAAUGACUUAAAAACACUAUAAGCAAAACAGCAGUGGUAACUCUGCUGGAAAAAAAGACAAAUAAGUUAGUUCUCCCUGGGUCAAACACAUCAUGUUUACAAACCCUUUUGUUACCUCUCAUGCCCCAGCGUCAGAACUCAUUCCACCACUUGUUAAUAUAAAUAAAUAAAUAAAUAAAAUGUUGCAAACUCAAAUUCUCAAGAACUUUAGUAAAAGGACUCAAAUGAUCAAAAACUUGAGUAAAAAAAAAAAAGGUCCACAUGUCAAGAUCACUCACCAUGGCCAAACCAGCAAACCAGAGUCUAGUUGGAACUCCCACAGCUGCCAUUUAUCAGCCUCAUUGGCCAAUCACAGCUCAACAGACAGGUGGUGGCCAUGAAUGUUAGCCUAUGGUGCACCAUUAGGGACAAACUACCACCCACAGCCCUGUCUGUCACAUUCCAGUCCCCCUUUUGUAUCAGUGCCCCACGGAUAAAAACAAAAAACAAAUCUACCUACUUAAUACCAUAGUCCAAAACGUCAGUAACGCAACCCUUUCGCCCAGCUACCUGGGAGUUUGUCGCCCCAUCUGCCGGAUUUAGUACUGAUGCUGGGAGAUAAUGCAAGUUUCUAUGUCGUCCUGCUGUGGUGCGUCUAGACCUCCUCUGACCUUCUGCUUCAGCCCCAGUGGGUACCACAGGAGCUUGGAAAGGUUGUGUAGAAUGGAUGCACGGUUCCUGAGGUGUAGCAUUGUCCAUAAGGUCUCUUUGAUGGGGGGUUCGUACAUAAGAUGGUUCAGGUUGGCCUCCUAUGGGGUCAAGCAUGACCCAUGCACCCUGGUCGUCCUCCUCACCACUAGACUGCAUUCUGGUUACUUGAGGCACUUCCUGCAUGUGAGGCAGCUCUGAGGCCAGAUCCACAUUGGCCGCCUUCAUCAUAGUUCGGUGCACUUGACGAAUCUUACCCAGAUCUUGAACGGAUGCAACUGAAUACACAACUCCAUCUGGUGCAGAGGCCUGUAUUACCUUAUGUAAGGUAGGACUCCAGGCUUCCUGAAUCUUGGUGCGACCUCGUAUGGUGCAGUUUUUCAGAUAUACUAGCUGCCCCUCUGCCAAUAUAUCACAGAGGGUUUGUCGGUCAUGCCGGUCUUUGCGCUUUAGAGCAGCCGCUGAUGUUCUCGCACCCAGUCAGUCACUGGCCCCUCAUCUGGCUCUUCUAUCCUGCCCAGAAGGAAAUCGACAGGCAGUUGAGGUUCUUGACCGAACAUCAAGUAGUACGGUGACUCACCUGUUGACUGAUGAAUAGUUGUGUUGUAACAGAACACCAAUUGAGGCAGGUAUAAUGGCCAGUGUCUUUUCCUCUCUGCUGGCAGUGAGCGCAACAGGUCAUGCAUUGUCUGAUUAAACCGCUCACACUGCCCAUUUCCCUGGGGGUGGUGUGGUGUAGUCCGGGAUUUCUGCACUCCGUACAGGUUACACAGCUGACCAACAAGGGGCAUUUUCAAAGCUGCGUCCUUGGUCGGAGUGGAGGCGAGCGGGAACCCCAAAACGAAAAAACCUCUUCCGAACAAGAGCGCUGGCCACCGUUGCGGCUUCCUGGUCUCUGGUAGGCAUCUCCUGUGUGAAUUUAGAAAACACAUCCAUCAUUAUCAAGACAUGCUCUCUCACCGUCAGCAGCUGGCUACAGAAGGGUAAAGUCCACUGCUAAAAUCUGGUUUGGGUGGGAAGCCAACAAAUGCCCCAUGGGUGCACUGAGUUUGGGCUGAGAGGUCGUGUACAGUCUUUGCACCACUGUUUAAUAUCAUCGCUCAUUCCUGGCCAAUAACAUCUCUGCCUUACUAGCUCAGUUGUGCGUUCAAUCCCCUGGUGGCCGUGGUCAUCAUGCAACUGCUGCAGGACUUCUUUGAGGCAAAUAGGCAACAGCAGUUUUAGGACCUCCUCCCCUCCAUCUGGCCGCUGUACCUUGCGAAAGAUUAAACCAUCCUUACUUGUGAUCUUGUCCCACUGCCGUACCAGUACUCGAACUGGUCCUGACAGUCUGAGAUCUUUUACAGUAUGUGAGAGAAAAGCAGAGAUGGCCGACUGGGUUACCUGCGGCUCCUGUCGAACAGCUUGAUGUGUAGCAACCGGAAUGGCUACUCCUUCCAACAUUGACCCAGUACUCAUCCUUGCCAUUGCUGUGGGUGGCUGCCAAUUGGCCACAGCUGACACCUUGGAUGGAUCCGUAGAUACUCCUUCACAGGGACCAGAUGGCCAAGGUAAUUAACCUCUUUCCUGCUGAAAAAACAACACUUUUCCAGCUUAACUUUUAGUCCUUCUUUCUGCAGUCGACUCAGCAUCCUAUCCAGACGAUUUAAGUGGUCCUCCACACUGGAAGAGAACACAAUGAUAUCAUCCAGACAUAGUAGGAGUAGUUGACAAUGCUCUGCCCCAAACAUCUUCUCUAUGAACCGCUGAAAAGUAGCUGGCGCGUUGCACAAACCAAAGGGCAACCGGUUGAACUCAAAUAGCCCAAAUGGUGUGCAGAAAGCAGUCUUUGGGCGAUCUCUCAGUCACCAACACUUGGUAGUAGCCACUAGCCAGGUCGAGCGUGGAGAACCGUUUGUCCCCACAAAGUGCAUCCAAAGACUCCUCAAUGCGGGGAAGAGGGAAGGCAUCUUUCCUAGUCUUAGCAGCGAUUAAGCUGCCGGUUAAUCACGCACAUUCGGAGGGAACCAUCCUUCUUUUGCACCAGCACAAUCGGAGAGGCAUAGGGGCAACCACUUUCCCGGGGAACCUGACUAUCCAACAGCUGUGGGCCUCAUAAUCAGAGGGGGGCAACCUCCUAUAUCGCUGUCUAACAGGCUUGUCAUCGAGCAAACGGAUGUCAUGUGAAAUCAGGGUAGUGCAGCCAAGAUCAGUUUCGGAUGCAGGGAAGACCGACUCGUGCCUCAACAGAAAUGUCCUUACUUGUUCCUGUUCGGUCUGCGACAGCUCGGACAGAUCAAGGUUCUGUUACUGUUGGCCAACACUACUAAUGUUACUCUCAUUGACCUUGAUGGAGGCAGUAACUCCAGACUCCUGUGUAAUCUCACAAAUCCCUGAAGGGAGCCCUUGAACUGUAGUUGGGACUAGGUGACCCACGAUACUUCGGGGGCACAGUUUUGUCUGAGUGAGCGCUUCAUUAACAACUGAAAACCGUACCAUUCUCCACACGAACCAAUCAAGGUGAAACCAAGAGGCCAUACGGUAAUGGGCAACUAGCUGGUUCCAGCAGAACAGUCGAGACAUUGCCAAAGUGUGGCGCGCAAGUGGCUGCUACCAACUUAACUGUACCUCCCGGUAUUAGAAUAGGCCUGCGGCCUCUAACCUUGGCCAGGUCUGUUCUGACUGGACAACACUGGGAUUGAUGACAAUACUGUAGCGCCUGUUGCCAUGGAGGUGAAGCAUGCACUAGGGGUGGAAGAUCAAACAAAGAAAGCCCAUGCUGACCAAAUAGCACAUCAUUGCACUGAUUGAUUACGUUCAUCCCUAAAACAUCCGGCACCGCAGGACGAGGCUGGUCUGAGGGGGAUCCUUGACCACUAGCCACCCACGCUGAGGAAUUACUUUUCCCAGCCCCUCAACCAUGAACUCCACGUAGCCUGUGUAGGGAAUGUCCAAACCAUUGUCCGCAAGUAGGUGCAAUCGAUGACAGUGCUAAAGGUCAUUCUUAAAAUGCUCCAAGAAAAAGCUCUCCACCAUAAUAGACGCCAUUGAACCUGUGUCUAACAGACAGUCCACAAUUACCCGUCCCACUCUAACAGCUACCUUAGGGCACUGUGCAACAAGGGAGGUCAAGUUAGGGUCAACUGCAUUCUCACUCUUGGAGGCAGUAAGGUACCCUUCCAACGUGUGGCUCAGCAUGCUGGAGGGAACUAGUUUCCCACAACCUGGGAAUUAGGACCACUAUAUGCCUGUUGGGGGGACAGGGUAGAAGGGCUCUGAGUGUGCACGCGUUUAUUGUCACAUUCUUUUGCAUAAUGACCCACUUGCUGGCAUCGCCUACAAAUGAUGGCAGCACAGCUUGGCCGAGUUUGCCGCGGUGCUCUCUAUAAUAUGGCCAUAGCAUCAAUCAUCUUAUUAAUCUGCUCUUGUUUUAAGAUUAGAGCACGCAACUCCAGUUCAGGGCUAAUGACACCAACUGAGCAAGGAGGGGUGAUGGGCUUCACACUUGAACCUUGCAUGGCACAAAUAGAAGGGACUAGAUAUAGGCCACCACGACGAUCCUGCCCUGGUCUGCCCUCACGGUCCCACUGAAUUGCUAUAGUCCGUGCCUCCCACAUAGACAUUUUUGGGGUUAAACGCACAAGCCUUUUUAACUCCCUAUGAAGGUCUGAAUCCAGUACAUGUUCAAUAAACUGGUCGCGUAAUAACUUGUCUGAUUGAGGCACAGACUCAGGGGAGGUCUGCUUAAUCUUAUCCAUGACUGAGAGCAGGGCAUGAGAAUACUCUUGAAGGGAUUCACCCUCCUGUCAUGUUCUAGAGAAAAAUCUCUCCUGCAAGGCUACAUAGGAACUUGAACAUCCAUACAGCUCCUUCAGAAUAUUGAUCUUUUCCAGUUUGCACACUUAGUUCCUCAUUAACCGUCUUGAUAAGAUUGGAUAACUGUCACCAAAAUAAAUUUGUAUCAUCAGCUAACAAAAUAAAUGUAGAUGUUUUUGAAAUUGUAAAAUCAACGAGUUUUUCCAGAAUUUAUGAAAACUAGGGAAGUAAUAAGAUUUUCUAUAAUUUGUGAACAGGUGUUAUCAUAAUUUUUGUAAAUUGGUAUAACUUUGGCCUUUUUAAUUUAGUUUGAGACACAGCCAGUUUGCACUGAUAAGUGACAAAUAUAAAUAUAAAUAGGUUUAGAAAUGGGAUUUAGCACUUUUUUCACCAGAGACAUGUCCGUACAAUGAUGAUUGUUUUUAUAUAUCUGAACAAUACCUAUAAGUUCUUGUUCAUUGGCUGGAGUGAAAACAUUUGUACGUGGAUUUGUUUUAAUUGGGUCUUUGAACAUAUCAGUCAAAUGGUUUGGAAUUUCUGCUGCUAAAUCUGGAUCGACAUUUAAGAUAAACGUAUGAAAUCGGUUUGUUACAAUUUCCAUAUUGUAGGUUUUUUAUUUCAUUCCAAAAGUAAUUUGGGUAUGCUGUUUUGUUGGAUUUAUUAUUAUUUAAAACAUUUAUCAAUCCCAAGUUCCUUUGAUAUAAUUUAUAUUUUCAUAGAAGUAUUUUAAAAUACAGUUUUUUACUUCCUCUUAUGUUAGUUAACUUUAUUUAAUAUUGUUCUGUUUCUUUUGUUCUUUUCUUGAUACCACGUUUGUAAAGAUUAUUUUUCUUUUUACAGGCAUUUAGUAAUCCUUUUGUAAGCCAGGGGCAUUGGAUAUUUUUAUUAAGUUCUGUAUCAAUCAAUUCUAUCAAUUUCAUCAAUUCUGUAAGGCCUUUACCGCCUGCCAUCACACACAACACCAACCACACAGAACAUUUUCGUCAUGUUUUUUCUUUACAAACAUUUUUUAAUAGAAGUUUAUUUGAAAAACUUUUCAGACAUUUCUUUUAGGGGUUCUAGUCUUUUACCCAGAUAAAUGAAAAAUAUUCACUCAUUCAAAAUAAAUGUUUAAAGCAAUGCAAGCAACUUAAAGCUUAAGAUCAUAGAUUAUCCUGUGAAUAAUAAAAAACAAAACAGAGAAUCAAAAAACAUUUUAAAUAUUUUUGGAGCAAAAAUCAUCAGAUUGUGAGGGAAGUCAGGGAAUCAAACCCUGAUUUCCUGUGUGCUAUUCCUUUUCUGAACUGGACAACACAUAGUCAGCAAAAACUGAUCAGUCCAUCAUUCCAGUCAAAUGUGUGGAAACACUUUGAAUUUAGCAAAGUCAUGUGACCAUCCAGUGU